AUUCUGGCUCCAACAAACAUACUAAAAUAUUAAAAGUUAUGAUCUCUAAAUUUAAAGGAUUUGGCGGUAAUUUAGUCCAGUUAGAGGAACCUGUUUUAUAAACGAUACACCACGAAAAAUCUUACCUAUUUUCAGUUUGUAUACCGUCAUUAUUAGAUAACUUUUAGAAAAUAAGUUAUUACAAUAAGUUCAACUUAAUAUAUUAGAUCAAGGUGCAGCGCAUAAAUAGGAAUUCAAUGGGUUACAAUAAAAUUUAUUUACACGGAUUUUUUCUUUAAACAGAUUACUUAAGGAGGAUUUAAUAGUAAAAUUAAUUUAAUAAGUUAAUUUGAUAACGGACCUAAAUUGUGUACAUAUCGCCCGUCACUUUCAUUACUAAAUGAAAUAAGUCGUAACAUAG
rnacentral:rRNA from 1 species